rnacentral:rRNA from 1 species
ACGAACGCUGGCGGCGUGGAUAAGACAUGCAAGUCGAACGAGAGAAUUGCUAGCUUGCUAAUAAUUCUCUAGUGGCGCACGGGUGAGUAACACGUGAGUAACCUGCCCCCGAGAGCGGGAUAGCCCUGGGAAACUGGGAUUAAUACCGCAUAGUAUCGAAAGAUUAAAGCAGCAAUGCGCUUGGGGAUGGGCUCGCGGCCUAUUAGUUAGUUGGUGAGGUAACGGCUCACCAAGGCGAUGACGGGUAGCCGGUCUGAGAGGAUGUCCGGCCACACUGGAACUGAGACACGGUCCAGACACCUACGGGUGGCAGCAGUCGAGAAUCAUUCACAAUGGGGGAAACCCUGAUGGUGCGACGCCGCGUGGGGGAAUGAAGGUCUUCGGAUUGUAAACCCCUGUCAUGUGGGAGCAAAUUAAAAAGAUAGUACCACAAGAGGAAGAGACGGCUAACUCUGUGCCAGCAGCCGCGGUAAUACAGAGGUCUCAAGCGUUGUUCGGAAUCACUGGGCGUAAAGCGUGCGUAGGCUGUUUCGUAAGUCGUGUGUGAAAGGCGCGGGCUCAACCCGCGGACGGCACAUGAUACUGCGAGACUAGAGUAAUGGAGGGGGAACCGGAAUUCUCGGUGUAGCAGUGAAAUGCGUAGAUAUCGAGAGGAACACUCGUGGCGAAGGCGGGUUCCUGGACAUUAACUGACGCUGAGGCACGAAGGCCAGGGGAGCGAAAGGGAUUAGAUACCCCUGUAGUCCUGGCAGUAAACGGUGCACGCUUGGUGUGCGGGGAAUCGACCCCCUGCGUGCCGGAGCUAACGCGUUAAGCGUGCCGCCUGGGGAGUACGGUCGCAAGAUUAAAACUCAAAGAAAUUGACGGGGACCCGCACAAGCGGUGGAGUAUGUGGCUUAGUUCGAUGCAACGCGAAGAACCUUACCUGGGCUUGACAUGUAAUGAACAACAUGUGAAAGCAUGCGACUCUUCGGAGGCGUUACACAGGUGCUGCAUGGCCGUCGUCAGCUCGUGUCGUGAGAUGUUUGGUUAAGUCCAGCAACGAGCGCAACCCCUGUUGCCAGUUACCAGCACGUGAAGGUGGGGACUCUGGCGAGACUGCCCAGAUCAACUGGGAGGAAGGUGGGGACGACGUCAGGUCAGUAUGGCCCUUAUGCCCAGGGCUGCACACGUACUACAAUGCCCAGUACAGAGGGGGCCGAAGCCGCGAGGCGGAGGAAAUCCUAAAAACUGGGCCCAGUUCGGACUGUAGGCUGCAACCCGCCUACACGAAGCCGGAAUCGCUAGUAAUGGCGCAUCAGCUACGGCGCCGUGAAUACGUUCCCGGGUCUUGUACACACCGCCCGUCACAUCAUGGAAGCCGGUCGCACCCGAAGUAUCUGAAGCCAACCGCAAGGAGGCAGGGUCCUAAGGUGAGACUGGUAACUGGGAUG